rnacentral:rRNA from 1 species
UACAGAGGUCCCGAGCGUUGUUCGGAUUCACUGGGCGUAAAGGGUGCGUAGGUGGCAUGGUAAGUUUGAUGUGAAAGCUCAGGGCUUAACCCUGAAAUGGCAUUGAAUACUACUGUGCUGGAGGUUUGGAGGGGGGACUGGAAUUCUUGGUGUAGCAGUGAAAUGCGUAGAUAUCAAGAGGAACACCAGUGGCGAAGGCGAGUCCCUGGACAACACCUGACACUGAGGCACGAAAGCUAGGGGAGCGAACGGG